CGGAAAAUAUGUUACUUUUGUGUAUCGUUUUACGUGUCGUGACCAGUAAUGGAUGAACAGAAGGACUGCAAUUAUUAUGAUCAUCCUACCGCGAGCUAUGAUGUACACUACAAAACGAAUUUUUUUCGAGAUGCCUCCGGAAAUUCACUGUCUCUCGCCUAAUUUUCAAUAUUUUGCAAUAAAAGUUUCUCACAAAAAAUGACAUUUUUUGGCAAGGACUUUU